rnacentral:rRNA from 1 species
UACGGAGGGUGCAAGCGUUAUCCGGAUUCACUGGGUUUAAAGGGAGCGUAGGUGGGCAGGUAAGUCAGUGGUGAAAUCUCUGGGCUUAACCCGGAAACUGCCAUUGAUACUAUCUGCCUUGAAUAUUCUGGAGGUAAGCGGAAUAUGUCAUGUAGCGGUGAAAUGCUUAGAUAUGACAUAGAACACCCAUUGCGAAGGCAGCUUACUACGGAACUAUUGACACUGAGGCUCGAAAGCGUGGGGAUCAAACAGG